UACGGAAGGCAGCAGUGGGGAAUAUUGCACAAUGGGCGCAAGCCUGAUGCAGCCAUGCCGCGUGUAUGAAGAAGGCCUUCGGGUUGUAAAGUACUUUCAGCGGGGAGGAAGGCGAUGCGGUUAAUAACCGCGUCGAUUGACGUUACCCGCAGAAGAAGCACCGGCUAACUCCGUGCCAGCAGCCGCGGUAAUACGGAGGGUGCAAGCGUUAAUCGGAAUUACUGGGCGUAAAGCGCACGCAGGCGGUCUGUUAAGUCAGAUGUGAAAUCCCCGGGCUUAACCUGGGAACUGCAUUUUGAACUGGCAGGCUUGAGUCUUGUAGAGGGGGUAGAAUUCCGAGGUGUAGCGGUGAAAUGCGUAGAGAUCUGGAGGAAUACCGGUGGCGAAGGCGGCCCCUGGGACAAAGCUGACGCUCAGGGUGCGAAAGCGUGGGGAGCAAACAGGGAUUAGGAUACC
rnacentral:rRNA from 1 species